AGCGCUGGGGGGCAGAGGAGCGGAGUUGAGGCAGAAGCCAGGUGAGGCUGGAGUCCUGGGGGUAGGCAGGCUGUCGCUGCCGCUGCCUGAGAUGGAAAUCGGGGGAGGAAGCUCGCGGAAGAAACAGCGGAGGGUCGUGGAAAGAAAGCAAUGGCUGAGCUAGGGAUGGGGUACCAGGUAGGGGGAGGAAACGGGAGAAAUAGGUGGGGCUCCAGCGCAUGCUCAAUAGGAAGGGGCGCCGGUAGGGUGUCGACGCAUGCGUAGUGGGCUUCUCGGGCGGUGGGGUGGUCGCGGAAUUUGGAGACCUACUUCGGGAAAGGUAAAAUGCGGGAGCAAUUUUAGGGUACCUGUGGGACCUGGGCUCUUAGGGUCCUGACACAGGACGCGCCUGGGCCGAAAACCCAGGCACGCCCGGCCAGAGAGUGUUUCUUCACUCCCGGACUCUGCCAGUCAGAAUGGUGGCGCCUUCGCUGAAGCUUCAGGACCUCAUCGAAGAGAUUCGCGGGGCCAAGACUCAGGCCCAGGAGCGGGAGGUGAUCCAAAAGGAGUGCGCCCACAUCCGGGCCUCCUUCCGCGAUGGGGACCCAGUGCACAGGCACCGGCAGCUGGCCAAACUGCUCUACGUCCACAUGUUGGGCUACCCCGCCCACUUUGGACAGAUGGAGUGCCUGAAACUGAUCGCCUCCUCCAGAUUCACAGACAAGAGGGUGGGCUACCUGGGGGCCAUGCUUCUAUUGGAUGAGAGGCACGAUGCCCACCUGCUCAUUACCAACAGCAUCAAGAAUGACCUGAGCCAGGGGAUUCAGCCAGUACAAGGCCUGGCCUUGUGCACUUUGAGCACCAUGGGCUCUGCUGAGAUGUGCCGAGACCUGGCCCCAGAGGUGGAGAAACUGCUCCUGCAGCCCAGUCCCUACGUGCGCAAGAAGGCUAUUCUGACUGCAGUGCACAUGAUCCGGAAGGUCCCUGAACUCUCCAGCGUCUUCCUCCCACCCUGUGUCCACCUGCUUCACGAGCGUCACCAUGGUAAGGCUGUGGGGCUCCCCAUCCUUUGCUUCAGCUCUGUGGACAGAAGAAUUGAAAAUCGGAUGGGAACACCAGCUCAUAGGAGAAGGGUAGCGCACACACACAGGCACACACGCAAUAGACUCUCUCGCCCCUGGCCCCCACCAUUCACUUCCCCGACCCUGACCCCAGGCAUCCUGCUGGGCACCAUCACGCUGAUCACGGAGCUCUGCGAACGAAGCCCUGCAGCCCUCAGGCACUUCCGAAAGGUGGUACCCCAGCUGGUACAGAUCCUCCGGACUCUGGUGACAACGGGAUACUCCACAGAACACAGCAUAUCUGGAGUCAGCGACCCCUUCCUGCAGGUCCAGAUACUUCGUCUGCUUCGGAUCCUGGGCCGGAACCACGAGGAGAGCAGUGAGACCAUGAAUGACUUGCUGGCCCAGGUGGCCACUAACACAGACACCAGCCGAAAUGCCGGGAAUGCGGUCCUGUUUGAGACAGUACUCACCAUCAUGGAUAUCCGCUCUGCAGCUGGCCUACGGGUUCUAGCUGUCAACAUUCUUGGCCGCUUCCUACUCAACAGUGACAGGAACAUUAGGUAUGUAGCCCUGACAUCAUUGCUUCGACUGGUGCAGUCUGAUCACAGUGCUGUGCAGCGGCAUCGGCCCACUGUGGUGGAUUGUCUACAGGAAACUGAUGCCUCCCUCAGCCGGAGGGCCCUGGAACUAAGCCUGGCUCUGGUAAAUAGCUCCAAUGUGCGAGCCAUGAUGCAAGAGCUGCAGGCCUUUCUGGAGUCCUGCCCGCCUGACCUACGGGCUGACUGUGCCUCAGGCAUCCUGCUAGCUGCAGAAAGGUUUGCUCCCACCAAACGCUGGCACAUAGACACCAUCCUGCAUGUGCUGACCACGGCAGGCACCCAUGUGCGGGAUGAUGCAGUGGCCAACCUGACCCAGCUGAUUGGGGGGGCCCAGGAGCUACAUGCCUACUCUGUGCGCCGCCUCUACAAUGCCCUGGCAGAAGACAUUUCCCAGAGACGGGGGUCUCGCUAUGUUGCCCAGGCUGGUCUUGAACUCCUGGUCUCAAGCGAUCCUCCCGCCUCAGCCUCCCAAUGUGCUGGGAUUACAGGCGUGAGCCACCACGCCCGGCCAGCCCAGCAGUUUCUUAUUCCAUGUAGCAACCACUGGUGCAGGUGGCAGCCUGGUGCAUUGGGGAAUAUGGGGACCUCCUGCUGGAGGGGAACUGUGAGGAGAUUGAGCCCCUUCAGGUGGACGAAGAGGAAGUACUGGCAUUGCUGGAAAAGGUGCUGCAGUCCCAUAUGUCCCUGCCAGCCACUCGAGGAUAUGCCCUCACAGCCCUCAUGAAACUCAGCACUCGCCUCCAAGGGGACAAUAACCGCAUCCGCCAGGUGGUGUCCAUCUACAGGAGCUGCUUGGACGUGGAGCUGCAACAACGGGCUGUGGAGUAUGACACACUCUUCCGGAAGUACGAUCACAUGAGGGCUGCCAUCCUGGAAAAAAUGCCUCUUGUGGAGCGAGAUGGCCCUCAGGCUGAUGAGGAAGCAAAGGAAAGCAAAGCAGCAGCCCAACUUUCAGAAGCAGCCCCAGCACCCACAGAGCCCCAGGCCUCACAGCUCCUGGAUCUGCUAGAUCUCCUGGAUGGGGCUUCUGGGGAUGCCCAGCAUCCUCCCCCUCUGGACCCCUCCCCUGGAGGUGCCCUGGUAUACCUGCUUGACCUUCCCUGUGCACCUCCAUCCCCAGCUCCCAUCCCAGAUCUCAAAGUGUUUGAGCGUGAGGGAGUACAGCUGAAUCUGUCUUUCAUUCGACCCCCUGAAAACCCUGCUUUGCUGUUAAUCACCGCCACUGCCACCAACUCCUCAGAGGGUGAUGUCACCGAUUUCAUCUGCCAGGCUGCUGUGCCCAAGAGUCUCCAGCUGCAGCUGCAGGCCCCCAGUGGGAACACAGUUCCAGCUCGGGGUGGCCUUCCUAUCACCCAGCUCUUCAGAAUCCUCAAUCCUAACAAGGCCCCCCUGCGGCUAAAGCUGCGCCUCACCUACAACCACUUUCACCAGUCAGUGCAGGAGAUCUUUGAGGUGAACAACUUGCCUGUGGAAUCGUGGCAGUAACUGUCUCCAUCACAGCCUGAAAUUCUCCUGUGUCCCAAACCCCAGGGGGCCCCAGCCGCUUGAAACCUACACCUGAGGGCUACCAGCAGGUGGCACUCUGGCUUUGCACUGCAAAAACUGGGGACCAGCCCCCUUCUCCCACAAAUAAAGCCCAAUAAAGCCUGA